rnacentral:rRNA from 1 species
UACGGGGGGGCAAGCGUUGUUCGGAAUUACUGGGCGUAAAGGGCUCGUAGGCGGCCAACUAAGUCGGAUGUGAAAUCCCCAGGCUUAACUUGGGAACUGCAUCCGAUACUGGAUGGCUUGAAUCCGGGAGAGGGAUGCGGAAUUCCAGGUGUAGCGGUGAAAUGCGUAGAUAAUCUGGAGGAACACCGGUGGCGAAGGCGGCAUCCUGGACCGGCAUUGACGCUGAUGAGCGAAAGCCAGGGGAGCAAACGGG